CCUACGGGGCGCAGCAGUGAGGAAUAUUGGUCAAUGGACGAGAGUCUGAACCAGCCAAGUAGCGUGAAGGAUGACUGCCCUAUGGGUUGUAAACUUCUUUUAUAUGGGAAUAAAAUGUUCCACGUGUGGGAUUUUGUAUGUACCAUAUGAAUAAGGAUCGGCUAACUCCGUGCCAGCAGCCGCGGUAAUACGGAGGAUCCGAGCGUUAUCCGGAUUUAUUGGGUUUAAAGGGAGCGUAGGUGGAUUGUUAAGUCAGUUGUGAAAGUUUGCGGCUCAACCGUAAAAUUGCAGUUGAAACUGGCAGUCUUGAGUACAGUAGAGGUGGGCGGAAUUCGUGGUGUAGCGGUGAAAUGCUUAGAUAGCACGAAGAACUCCGAUUGCGAAGGCAGUUCACUGGACUGCAACUGACACUGAGGCUCGAAAGUGUGGGUAUCAAACAGGAUUAGAUACCCGGGUAGUC
rnacentral:rRNA from 1 species